AUGUCUCAGCAACUGAGCAAACAUUUACACUUGUCACCAAAAAUAAAUUUGAAAACUAAAUUUAAAAAGAUCUGGAGAGAUGGAAAAAAAGAGAAUCAGGUCUUUUCUUGUUUUCCAAAGGAGGAAUCUGACAUUCAGCUCAGCUCAGCACCUGGCCAACGCAGAAGACAUAAGGGCAAGAGGAGAUCAAAGGGCCUCACGUUGAGAGAACAAACGCUGAAGAAAAAGGCAAAUGAAAGAAGAAAAGUUCACACUUCAGGCUGAGAAACAGAUGGUGCAGAGGGUUGGGUGGAGUGGAGGCCCGACUGCCCCCCACCAGAGGGGGAAGGGUGAAGAGAUGCUCCUCAGAAACCUUAACAGACUUGCAACCAGCCCUGAGAAGAAUUCUCUGAAGACUCAAGGGGAAAAAAUUCUCUUAAGAUUUUAAUUUUCAAAACAGGGGAUUCUUCUUGAGAUGGUCGUGGUAUAAAUGGAGGUGUGGGGUGGGAAGGGUUUUCCAGUUCUGUAGAAAAUGCAUGAUCAGAUCUCCUGGUGAAUAUAAUUCCCCUCUUCUCCCUCCAUGAAAAAUCCACCUUUCUGAAAGCCGCAGUAGAAUCUCUGAGUGAAGCAGUUUGGCAUCUAUUCUGGAAAGUUGAACAAUGAAAACCAUCAACUCAAUUCAAGAGCAGCAAAGUGUGUGUGUGUGUGUGUGUGUGUGUGUGUGUGUGUGUGUGUUUUGCCAUCCUCUCCCUGGUCCGGUUAGGAUGGGAUAGGAAAAUGCAACGAUCUUUUCUUUCUCCAACUAAAUGCCUGCCAUGUAGACACAUCUGGAGUCUGAGGUUCAAAAAGUGGGAUUUAGGAGAGCACAAAGUGGGAAAGAGGGCAAGAUUUUGGCAUCUAAGGAAAUGGGAGAUUUGGACUUAUUGUGGAGUAUUUUGAGCCAGCCCCUCUGUUAACAGAGAAUUGAUCUGCCCCUCACCCUUCCCUGGGGGAAUCUCGUGGCUCCUUCUGCUCUGACCAAAAUCAAAUGCGCCAGCCUUCCUCCUUCCUCCUGUCCCCUCUAUCACGCUUCCCCCAGGACCUGUCAGCCCCAGUCCGAGGCCCAACUCCAACACCCUUGUAGUCCUGCCCUAACCACUGCUCCUUCUUCCCUACAUGCCUGCCCAUUUGCUGGUCCAAAGGUUGGAAGAUCCACAAACACCCCAAUCAGAAGGCUCCACCGACUUGCAGUAAAUGGCUUCAAGCAAAGGGAGUCUUGUUUCCAUAGACACUUGCUCUCUCCCCU
rnacentral:lncRNA from 12 species